ACUCAAAUGAAUAGACGGGGGCCCGCACAAGCGGUGGAACAUGUGGUUCAAUUCGACGCAACGCGAAGAACCUUACCUGGGCUUGAACCGCUACUGACCAGUGGUGGAAACAUCGCCUUCUCGCAAGAGACAGUAGUAGAGGUGCUGCAUGGCUGUCGUCAGCUCGUGCCGUGAGGUGUUGGGUUAAGUCCCGCAACGAGCGCAACCCUUACUCUUAGUUGCCACCCGCAAGGGGGAACUCUAAGAGGACUGCUCCGGAUAACGGAGAGGAAGGUGGGGAUGACGUCAAGUCAGCACGGCCUUUAUGUCCAGGGCUACACACGUGUUACAAUGCACGGUACAGACUGUUGCGAACCCGCGAGGGGGAGCCAAUCGGAAAAACCGUGCUCAGUUCGGAUUGCAGUCUGCAACUCGACUGCAUGAAGCUGGAAUCGCUAGUAAUGGCGUAUCAGAACGACGCCGUGAAUACGUUCCCGGGCCUUGUACACACCGCCGU
rnacentral:rRNA from 1 species